GACGAACGCUGGCGGCGUGCUUAACACAUGCAAGUCGAACGGAAAGGCCCUGCUUUUGUGGGGUGCUCGAGUGGCGAACGGGUGAGUAACACGCGAGUAACCUGCCCUUGACUUUGGGAUAACUUCAGGAAACUGGGGCUAAUACCGGAUAGGAGCUCCUGCUGCAUGGUGGGGGUUGGAAAGUUUCGGCGGUGGUGGAUGGACUCGCGGCUUAUCAGCUUGUUGGUAGGGUAGUGGCUUACCAAGGCUUUGACGGGUAGCCGGCCUGAGAGGGUGACCGGCCACAUUAGGACUGAGAUACGGCGCAGACUCCUACGGGAGGCAGCAGUGGGGAAUAUUGCACAAUAAGCGGAAGCCUGAUGCAGCAACGCCGCGUGCGGGAUGACGGCCUUCGGGGGGUAAACCGCUUUCGCCUGUGACGAAGCGUGAGUGACGGUAAUGGGUAAAGAAGCACCGGCUAACUACGUG
rnacentral:rRNA from 1 species